rnacentral:rRNA from 1 species
AGCGAACGCUGGCGGCAUGCUUUACACAUGCAAGUCGAACGGUAACAGGCCGCAAGGUGCUGACGAGUGGCGAACGGGUGAGUAAUGCAUCGGAACGUGCCCAGUCGUGGGGGAUAACGCAGCGAAAGCUGCGUUAACACCGCAUACGAUCUAUGGAUGAAAGCGGGGGCCCGUAAGGCCUCGCGCGAUUGGAGCGGCCGAUGUCAGAUUAGGUAGUUGGUGGGGUAAAGGCUCACCAAGCCAACGAUAUGUAGCUGGUCUGAGAGGACGACCCGCCACAAUGGGACGGAGACACGGACCAGGCUCCUACGGGCGGCAGCGGUGGGGAAUGUUGGACAAUGGGCGCAAGACUGAUCCAGCAAUGCCGCGUGCAGGAAGAAGGCCUUCAGGUUGUAAACUGCUUUUGUACGGAACGAAACGGUCUAGGUUAAUACCCUGGGCUAAUGACGGUACCGUAAGAAGAAGCACCGGCUAACUACGUGCCAGCCGCCGCAGUAACAC